rnacentral:lncRNA from 1 species
UCAAAUUCAUAGAAAAACUGCUAUUACUUCCUCGUAGAAGUACAAAUCAGUACUUAAAGCAUGACAUGCACCAAAAAGACAGCGAUAUCUGUACAAAUCAAGCCAGUAAAGCAUGUUAACCACUGAGCAGUGCUAGGCGUAUGAUAAAUUUUUGUACGAUGUUGUACGACUUUGCUCAGUCACCCUCCGAUCGAAUCUAUGCAUCAACAUCAAUCGUUGGAUCACUGGGUCGGACGUGACUCGUACAUUUGAAGUCGUACGCAGAGCAAUUUCGUUAACCACUGUGCUCGACGUAUCCUGAAGAUAUUCUUCCCUAGUUUGCUCUAUGUUAACCACUGCUAGAGGGGUAUCGUGAUGCAAUUCUUCCCUAGAUCGCUGUACUUAACCACUAUGCUAGAGGUAUCUUGAAGCAAUGCUUCCCUAAAUUCCUGUAUCUAGCAUCUCCAAGGGACAUCAUACGGUAUCAUACAGAACUUUAUGAGCAAAUACCAUGCACCGAAACAUCCCAUCACAAAGAAAUCCAUCCGAAACUCCAUCUAAGCUGGUGACACUGUCGUGUCUGGCUCACACCUAGUAGGAACACAGAGGUAGGGGAAAGAUGUAUUAGUAAAAGAGUAAUGCAACAGAGUAAGAAACUAUUAUGAGAACUGAUAUAUGCUGAGAAGAAGCAUAUACCAACAUCAACUUGAAACUUUUACAUAUAUUUACAAAAGAAAAAACUUAAAAUCAACAAUACCUCCUCCGUUACAAAAUAUUUGAAGUUCUAGUUUUGUCCUAAGUCAAACUUUAAGUUUGACCAAAUCUAUGGAAUAAUAUAUUAACGUCUAAAACAUCAAUCUAGUUGCAUUAGAUUCAUCAUAAAACAUAUUUACAUAAUAUAUAUUUGAUGUUGUAGAUAUUAGCAUAUUUCCCUAUAUACUCCCUCUGUAAACAAAUAUAAGAGCGUUUAGAUCACUAAAGUAGUUAUCUAAACGCUCUUAUAUUUUUCUUUAGGGAAUACAUGAUAUUUGAACAAGCUCGGCGCCAUGGUGCAGUCCAUGAUGCAACACACGGGUAUGGCUGCUGAAAGAUCCCCUACUGUUGAUGUGGUAGCUACAGCAGGAGCAUUCUGAAAUGCAAAAUCUCAGAAUCAUAUCAUGCCUUUGCCAUUCUACCAAAGCCAUAUCCUUGCUCAUCCAACUCUUAUCUUGAGGCAUGUCUCAAAUAUUGCAAAUUUCAAGACAAACAGAUCUACUCCAUCCGUCCAAUAAUAUAAGAGCGUUUUUUAGACUAGUGUGGUGUCAAAAACGCUCUUAUAUUAUGGGAUGGAGGGUGUAGCUUGUAAGAAUUCAAAAUAAAAAUAAACAUCAUGAAGUUAGAAAACCUUAAUAGGUACUCCCUCCGUCCGGAAAUACUUGUCACCAAAAUGAAUAAAAUGAGAUGUAUCUAGAUGUAUUUUAGUUCUAGAUACAUCCUAUUGUGUCCAUUUUGAUGACAAGUAUUUUCGGACGGAGGGAGUAGUAACGAACAUAAGUUUCCCUUUGUUUUCUUCAAAUUUGUUUUUUCAGUUAACUAUAUACUCCCUCCGUCCCAAAAUUCUUGUCUUAGAUUUGCCCAGAUACGGAUGUAUCUAAUACUAAAACGUGACUUGAUACAUCCGUAUUUAGACAAAUCUAAGACAAGAAUUUUGGUACGGAGGGAGUACUUAUUAUGUUCAGCACACACAAAAAUCCCACCAAAAAAGAAAUAAAUAAUCAUUGGGUUACUGACUACACAAACGAGCAGACAAAAGUUUUAUCAUGACUUGAAGCUAAAUCCACCACUUUGGACUAAAAAGUAAUAAUAAAUACUCCCUCUGUUCCGAAAAAUAGUCUUUUUAGAGAUUCCAAUACGAACUACAAACGGAUGUAUAUAGACAUAUUUUAGAAUGUAGAUUCACUCAUUUUGCUCCGUAUGUAGUCCUCAUUGUAAUCUCUAAAAAGACUUAUAUUUAGGAACGGAGGGAGUAUCAGAUUAUGUGGUAGUGUAGAAAAGGUACCAUUAUAGAAGUUGAACCCAAUUGGGGAAUAAGAAUGUUGAGAGGGACUCCAAGCUAACUUUGAAAUUAAGUCUGAAAGUUAUACAUAUGCAUAUCAGUUAACUCUGAAAGUUAUAUAUGGCAAGCAAACAAAACUGAACGACAUAAUAUACAACGACAUGUAAAAUUGUGAAUCAACCAGGUAGUGAGCAUAAUUACCCUUAUAAAACAAACUGAUGGUUGUGUGAGAUAGCCCCAUGAUUAAGAGUUCAAUGGGAUCAAUUGACUUAUAUUGUCUAUCAGGAAAACAGUAAGCAUGCUCCAAACAAUCAAUGAGAGCCUAGAUGAUGCACAACUCUAGCAGAUCCUUUUCUAUUAUCAAACCUCUGCCGCUGAAAAGGAGAUAACUAUUUCAACUGCUAAGAAGUGAGGACUGCGACAAAUUUGCAAACCAGGGAUAGAAAGUGCAUCUAAGCGCUGCUCAGAAGAGGCAUAUAAGCUUGAUCAGAAAUACUUGUAUGCAGAGUUGCAGACAUAACAUACUUAGUCGUCUUAUUGCAGACAGAAAAAUAAAGAACAACUACUUUUCUGCAGAUCAAAUUGCGACAUAAUACAUGCACCUUAUCGAUUUGUCCAAGAUGAGUUAAACAUAUCAUAUUAUGUGGUAGUGCGGAAAAGGUACCUUCAUAGAAGUUAAACCGAAUUGGGGGAUAAGAAUGUUCGCAGGGACUCCAGGAUACCUCUGAAAUUUAAGUCUGAAAGUUAUACAUGUAUAUGGAUCAGUUAACUUCGAAAGUUAUAUAUGGCAGGCAAACAAAACUGAACAAGAUAACCUACAACGACAUGUAAAAUUGUGAAUCAACCACUUAUAUUGAGCUAAACAUCUUAUUAAACAAACUGAUGGCUGUGUGAUAGUCCUACGAUUAAGAGUUCAAGGGUAUCAAUUAACUUAAUAUUUCCUAUCAGGAAAAAAGUGACCAUGCUCCAACAAUGAAUGAGAGCCUAGAUGAUGCACAACUCCAGCAAAUCCUUUGCUAGUAUCAAUCCUCUGUCGCUGAAAAGGAGAUUACUAUUUGAAUUGCUAAGAAGUGAGGACUGUAACAAAUUUGCAAACCAGGGAUAUAAAGUGCGUCUAAGCACUGCUCAGAAGAAACAUAUAAGCUUGAUCAGAAAUACUUGUAUGCAGAGUUGCAGACAUAACAUACUUGGUCGUCUUAUUGCAGACAGAAAAAUAAAGAACAACUACUUUUCUGCGGAUUAAAUUGCGACAUAAUGCAUGCACCUUAUCGAUUUGUCCAAGAUGAGUUAAACAUAUCAUAUUAUGUGGUAGUGCGGAAAAGGUACCUUCAUAGAAGUUGAACCGAAUUGGGGGAUAAGAAUGUUCGCAGGGACUCCAGGAUACCUCUGAAAUAUAAGUCUGAAAGUUAUACAUAUAUGUGUAUCAGUUAACUCCGAAAGUUAUAUAUGGCAGGCAAACAAAACUGAACAAGAUAACCUACAACAUGAUGUAAAAUUGUGAAUCAACCACAUAUAUUGAACAUAACAUCUUAUUAAACAAACUGAUGGCUGUGUGAUAGCCCUACGAUUAAGAAUUCAAGGGUAUCAAUUAACUUAAUAUUUCCUAUCAGGAAAAAAGUGACCAUGCUCCAAACAAAGAAUGAGAGCCUAGAUGAUGCACAACUCAGGCAAAUCCUUCUGGAAAGGAGAUUAGUACUCCAAUUGCUAAGAAGUGGGGACUGUAACCAUUUGGCAAACCAGGGAUGCAGAGUACGCCUAAAAACUGCUCAGCAGAGACAUAUAAGCUUCAUCAGAAAUACUUAUAUGUAUCAGUUGCAGACAUGGCAUACUUGGUUGUCUCAUUGCAGACAGAAAAAUAAAGAAUGGCAACUACUUUUCUGCAGAUCAAAUUGCGCCAUAAUACAUGACCUUAUCAAUUUGUCCAAGGCCGAGUUAAACCGGGAAAGGAGCUUCCCCAUACAAUAUCUACUGGUGGUUUAACAAAUUUAAUGUGUUCUUUCAGAACAAUUAAUUAUUAAAAUAACCACAUGCUACAUGGCAAACCAAAAGACAAACAUUGGCAAAUGAAUUACACUAGUUGGAAAGUAAAUCUAUUGGGUAUAUUUUCAUGAUUAGACUAAAAUAAGCUUUGUUGGUAGUGAUCACAUUAAUUGGAUUAAUCAGAGCAUAUGAAUCAAAACUAAAAUCCAUUGAUAAAGAAGACUACCCAAACUAAACCACUGUUUUAAUUAACAAAUAAGUAUAGCCAAACCGCCACUUACAAUCCCUAUCAAAUGUGGCAUAAGUAACAAUUAUUUUAAUUUACAAAUAAGUAUAGCCAAACCACCAUCAAUAAUCAAUAAAAUAAAACAGGUUCAAAAUUGUGCGCAAGUAAAUGGCUGUAGCAAUUGUGAGAUGUAACAUGAGAAGAUCUCAUAGGAAACUCCACUACAACAUCAUGUUAGUCAAUAUGUCACAUUCAGCUAAGCAUUUACAAUUUUACAUACAAGCAGAAACAGAAGAGAAGCAAACAACGUUUCCAGCCAAGCCAAAUUUUUGCCACAUAAAAAGCUGACACUAGGUGGCUAAGGCGCUUACAACAGCACCAAGGACAUAUGGGUGUGCAAUUUGCAUCUCGAAAUUACUACCCCAUUUCACCAUAGUGACUUUCAGUUGAACCACACCACAUUUGAGAAACAACGAUCAUAAUUUCUUAAGUCACUUUCAAAGGACCCUAAGUUGGAUUUUCCUAUGUUUGAUGGAACAAAUCCCUUAGGAUGGAUCAGGCAAUCUAAAAAUACUUUGAGAUGGCUAGUGUACCAGAGGAAUUCAAAGUUAUCCUACCCCAGAACCCAGAUAUCAUUACUGGUAGAGCAGAUAAGUGGUUAUGAGCAACUGGGUUAGUGGAAAAUGAUCCACCAUGGCCUGUCUUUUGUCAAGUUGUUUGCAACAGCUUUACAGAGACAAGCGUUUACAGUGUUCUGGGCAAGUUUAACUCUCUUGAGCAAUACACCACAGCUUAUACGGCAGGUUCGAAAAUUUAUGCCUCUGGUCAGGAGGGAAAACCUGGAUUGAGGGAGCAGUAUUUUGUAGUCCAUUUUGUGAAUGGACUCAAGGAUUAUUACUCACAUUUAGAGUCCCAUGAGGCCACAAACACUUAUGGAAGCUUAUUGGAAAGGAAGGGAGCUGGAAUAUGGUUCAACUCAACGAAAGGAAACAUAUACAGUCAAUGGAGAAGGAUAUCAGAAAAAGAAUAUUAAUCCAGUAACAUAUCUACAACCUUUGGCAGUGACUGCUGCCAGGCCUAAUUCAGAUAGUGGUAGAGAAAAGGUGGCUACUCGUAUUGCAAGGGAAAGUGGCCCGGGUAAGUGCUAGAACGGUGGAGAUAAAUAGGUGUUGGGGCAUAACUACAAGCAAUCAAGUGUUGAAUGUUAUGGUGACAAAGAUUGGUGAGUACUAUGCCUAUGCUGAAGAACAGCAUGCAUCCAGAAUUAGUUACCUUACUAGUUACUGUGUCACGAGCUUGGGAAAAUCUUUGAAGUGUUUUGGUUUUUCGAUUGGAACUCCCUCAGCCGCUUGAAUUUCUGCCUCCUUCAGUCCAAUCUUUAGGGACAGCCCAGCAAGAGCACGACCACAGCGGGUAAACUCCUUGCGCACUUCUGGCGAGUCGGUCUGUAGAAGCCAAUGGUAUACCUCCCCUCUCUGAUCUACUGUUUGGUUAAAUAAAUCAAUAAGCUCUCUGUUGUAAGCAUCCACCACUUCAUCACCUGUCCUGUGGAUCUUCUUAAAUUGGUACCUUAUUGCUUCCUGAAAUUACAUUCUUUUUCAAUUGGCAAAAGUCCAAUACACAAUGCACACAAAGGUACAUAAUAACAAACAACUAUAGCAGUUAAUAAACAGUAAUGUGGGCUUGAUAAAAUAUUAACAAAUGCAUAUCUUUUACCAACUUUGUGGAUGAUGGUAUAUAUUGUUAUGCUCCUAAAGGACAGAGAAAUAAUACUCUAGAGCCAUGACACAUCAGUACAGCAACAAAAAGAUAAUUGCUCCUAAACUGUUUUCCAUUUGGCUUUCAGCCGAAUUGCUGUCCAUAGUGCUUUGGCACGUGUCCAUUCGCUAAUUGCAUCUGUUUCCAAGCCAUAAAAUGUUCCGUUUGUUGGUGAUUUUCGUAACAAUGAGGUCCUACCCACAUACAAAAAACUCAAAAUCAAAAGUGGAAGGAAUGCGACUUCCUGUGGGGACUGAUACACGAUGUUUCUCAUGCCUAUUGAUGAAGAAUCUUGUUUUGUCGACGUGUAUUGCUUGACUUUUUUUAUGAGAAAGAGUCUAGAUAAUAAUUUUCUUGCUUUUGAGUGCAGGUUGUUUCACAGCAAAAGAAAAAUCUAACAGGAUGCUUGAAGAAAUAUACUUGCAUAACAAAAAUCCGUGGAGAGCAAGAAAAGAAGACGAAGACAGACUGAAUAGGACUUGAGAAUACUGAAGAGAGAUUUAAUAAGAACAAACAAGAAAAGCCAAAAUUAAGAAACUAAGAGACUUAAGAAAGAGAUACCGGAUAAGAGAAUGAGCAAACGAAGAAAUAAGACAUACAGUGUACUGGUUUAACUGAGAGGUUGAGGACCAGAGAAGACAACAAAAAUGAACAAGAGACUUGGGGAAUUAGAGAAACUGAAACUGAAGAAAUGUGAACCUAAAACGCUGAUGAAACUAAAGAAAUAAAUGAAAAUAAUGACAAUAAAUAAAUGAUAAAUUUCUAAUCACCAAGGAGGUGAAGCCCAAAUAAAGAAUUAUUGACGACAAGGGAUUGAACAUCUUGCUAGCUCACACUGGACAAAUACUGAAAAACAUAAUUGAAGACCCUCUGCACAAAAAUAAUGAACAACGAGUACAAGAAUAAGCUAGUAUAAAAGUGAAUGAUUCAACUAAAGAAAAAAAAAAGAGGUAAUGAACAACCUACUGACUCACAAUUAAUAGAUAAUGAACAAACAAACUACCAACUAGCUCUAAAACACUAAACUGAGUAAGUUGAAAGGCCAUGAUAACUGAGGUCGAUAACAAACACAUCACCCAUGUCAUCUGCUGCUAGCUGUUUUUUCAAUGAAAGAAACCAAACAAGCUCUGGAUAGAACACUGGAACUGAGAGCAUUUCUAACCGAUCCCCAAUAUCCCUAUAAGGGAGGAUAAACUCUGUUUUACUCCUUAUGCCACACCUAACCGAUCCCUUAUCCAGUCUAAGGGAGGAUAAAUUUUACUCUGAACCGCAUCGUUUCCCUAAAUAUACUCCGUCGCUGCGGGCUGGAGGAAAAAUUUCUGCCUCUGCCUCUGCCUCUGCCCGCCCCCUCCCUCCCCCCUAAAUAUACUUCACUAAGGUUUACAUGUGGUGCUCAAAAACAGAAACACAAGGGAGGGGCUGCCUGGCCCCUACCGAUCCAAUACCCAUCCCCCUCACUCAAAAAUCUAUCUGAUUCUUAUCCCCCAUGCUUAUCACCUUAUGUUCACGCAACAUCAAACAACACUAACUGACUGCAGGCACCUACUGAGGCAAAAAUUUAUAGCACGGAUUUUUCAGCAUUGGGUACGCCCCCUUGCUAGCACCGCGAGAAUAAGACAAAGCUAACAGGAAGAUUGCUGCUCCUGGAUCGUUCGACAAUGAAGCAAAACAGUGAGGGCCAUGCGCCGGGGGAUCUAGGGGGAGGGGGCUUACGAUUGGAGGAACCAUAGCUGGCAGGGUGGUGACCUUCCCCAUCUCCUUGCGGUUGCGGUUUCCCCGCAUCCAGUCGCUGAGGUGGAUUUCGGGGAGAAGUACAUUUCUCUGCAAUUAAAGAACACUCAGCGCAAACUGCAACAUCUGGCGGAUUCAUGGUGGAAAGGGAGCGUAGGGUGGGACUAACGGCAGGGGCAGCGACGGGCGGCUGCUGCGCGCCCCGCGCCUCAAUCACAGCUCGCCUCGCAGCCCGGCGGCCGACGUGGUCCGCCUCCGCCGCACCAGCAACCACCGGCUGCUGCUGCUGCUGCCGCGCCUCCCUCGCAGCCCGUGCGGCGGCCCGGCGUCCGAGACGCUCCAUGGUGCGGUCUCCAGCGCUGCGUGAGAAGGGUAGGGGAUUGCGAGCGGAGGCGGGUGGGGCGGAUUUCUAGGGUUUCCGAGCGGAAGCGGGUGGGCGGAUUUUGAUUUUUGAGGGAAUGGAGGGGAUUGCGUCCGGAACUCGGAUGCGGCGGUUGUUUUCAAGUGUGGCUCUUUCUACAGGUUCAAUUACACUCCGUAUUUGUACUCGAGAGACUAGUUUGGCUUUUUCACUGAAGAAAUGAUUUCUUGGCUAUGGAAAAUCAUAAAAUUCAGACAAUAUUUCUCAGUUGGGGAAAUAAAAUCUUUUCACUAGGCGAAAGCUAGAGACAAUCACGUCUCAUGGUGUUCCUGCCAUCACCGCGCCGCGUCGUGCCUCUCAAUGUUGUAGUGUAAUUCCAGCCCUCUCUCAUAGUUCGGAUUUUUUUAAAAACUGGUCAUAGUGUGUAUGAAUUCAAUGAUAUCUGAGCCAAAAGAUCUUGAGUUCAAAAUCCUACCAACGCAGCAGUAUUAAAAAAAAUCGACAUGAGAGGAAGUGCCUCUCUUCAUCAGUUCGGACUCAUGGAAAAUAGCAUAGACAUGAGGGGAAGUUAACUGGCUAGGUCUUAGGUGCAUACAGCUUGCAACCAAGAGUUUCAGGGUUCAAAACUCAGUAAAUCCGAUAAAUAUUAUGGCAUGNNNNNNNNNNNNNNNNNNNNNNNNNNNNNNNNNNNNNNNNNNNNNNNNNNNNNNNNNNNNNNNNNNNNNNNNNNNNNNNNNNNNNNNNNNNNNNNNNNNNNNNNNNNNNNNNNNNNNNNNNNNNNNNNNNNNNNNNNNNNNNNNNNNNNNNNNNNNNNNNNNNNNNNNNNNNNNNNNNNNNNNNNNNNNNNNNNNNNNNNNNNNNNNNNNNNNNNNNNNNNNNNNNNNNNNNNNNNNNNNNNNNNNNNNNNNNNNNNNNNNNNNNNNNNNNNNNNNNNNNNNNNNNNNNNNNNNNNNNNAAAGCUACGUGUAUCAGUAUCGGGCCUGGGGUCAUGAGAGGAAGGAGAGGAGGAAGUGAGGAUCAUGAGAGGAAGGAAGGAGGAAGUGAGAGUAGUUGCAGUUGUCGGCUGAACGGCUCAGUACAAAUACCUUGGGACGUUGUGCCGACCUCAACUGUCGAGCUGCCAUCAGGGAUCAAGAUCUACGAGUUGGCUGGGCUGUUGGGUGAGAGGGGGAGGCGGACUAAGCGACGAGGACGGCUGGGAGUCACUAAGGAAGGAGAAGGAGCUCGUCGGCUUGCCGCCGGCCCUGCCACCACCUACUGUGGAGCUUAGGGUUGUGUUGUACUCCCUCCGUCCCAAAAUAAGUUUCUCAAGUUUAGUAUACUAAACUUGAGACAUUUUAUUUUGGGACGGAGGGAUUACCUCUUAAGGCUUUGUUCGUUUAAUCCCCGCCCCCGCCGGGAUCGGUGGGGUUUUGGCCUAAUCCACGUGCUUUUGACCCCGGUCGGGGUAGGAUCCCGACCUACCUUAUAUGCGUCUUCGGUUAAACCCGGCCGGGUUGAUAUCCCAUCCAAAUCCACCCCAAACCACAGGGAUUCCACUGAGUUUUCACCCACGUCUCCCCACCCGUGGAACAAAACCAGUCGUCUCAGUCUUCUCGGCUCGAAAGAAAAAGGAGGAGCGGGCGAGAGCGGCGGCGGCGCCGACGCCGACAGGGAAGAACUAGGCGACGGCGAGGGGCCGGAGCGGGCGAUCUCUCUCCUCCACUGAAGACCGGCUGCUGCGCCAUCCUUCUACCUCGCCCCACUCUCCCCAAGUCAGCAGCCGAUCUGCGACCCUCUUCUUCCAUCCCCGGCGCGAGCUCGGCGGCUGCACCAACCUACUCCGGUGGCCCUCCCCAACGUUUCUAUGCCGGUAAGAUCUUCUCCCCCACCCUUGUUUCCUUCCUCUCCCCCCUUUUGAUUUCUAGGGUUUCCCGUCCCCUUUUCCACCGGUGACAAGGGCCGUCUUGCCGGCGAGGCUCCACCUCUCCUCUCUGCUUACUACAGCUUCCCAGUACCCUCCUCUGUACUUGCUCUACCUGUGAUUUGGUGCAAAUGGUGUACCUAGUUGAGUCUAACCAAAUCUGCUACAUAGUCGAAUCUUUUUGUCAAUGUCAUUAGCAGUGCACAUAUAUGCUACUAGUAAUCUAGUAUUUAUUUGUCCCUGAGAUUCAGUACUAUAUUUGCAGCUACCUGUAGAGAAUCAACAAGAUGCAAUUGUAGCUAUAUAGUUUUGUCAAUGAUAUCCUUGGGAGGUGAGAAAAGUUGAGUUUUAUGUAACUGAGGUGAACAUCAACUACAUGAAUUUUUUCUGAUAGUGGGGGUGAAGAGAAAUUUAGGUAAAAUGCUCUGAGAUCAAGGCAUCUUGAAGCCAUGCAACUACGACAGUGCAUUUUACUAAUUUAGAUGCAGAAAGUUUUACUUGUCAGAACAUAUAGAAUAUAUUGGGAUGUGUAGACAUAAAAUGUUUUUGUAAUAAGAGAAAAAAAAAUAUUGCCUCCAUUAGAACGAUAACUGUUUCAUACCACUUUAUGUUGCUUGACCUGACUUGUAUGUGCUACAUUAGAACGAUAACUGUUUCAUACUACUUUCACCGCCUCACAGCCGCAGCAAGACCCCGCUUGGGGCAGCAUCGUGAAGACUAAGGUAUAUUAAUCUUGAUGUACAUACUUGGUUUUCUUUGUACCCUACUGGCACUCGCAUCUUCAUCUAGCUCACAUGAACCUCCCUUGUUCAUCUAGUAACCUGAAGCUGAUGGCUCAAGUAGCCCACAUGAACCUCCCUUGUUCUCUUAUUUCCUUGCAAGAUCAUCUAGAAUAUGCAAGAAUCCCCCUUGUAGCUAUUUUCAUGCAUACUGGUCUUGAACACCCAGAAUAUGUGUAGUGUGUGCAUCCAUUGGUAUCCGCCAGAUUUCAUAACUUUUUAUCUGAAAUUUGAUUUCCCUAGAAUGCACCAUGAUAAAUGCUUAUGAGAUGAGAAUCCAUUCAUGUACAUCAUCUUAUGUUGUCCUUUUUUAUGUACUUAUCUUGUCCUUUCUUUGUCCUGUUUUCCCCUGAUUAUGACUGUAAUGGAAGCUCUUAUUUAUACAGUGCAUAUUGGAACUGAAUUGAUCUAUCUCCGCAUUUCAUUUAAUUUUGCUCUGCCCUCCUUUUGCAAGUAUUAUUUUGUACCAAAGAAAGAAAUCUUUUUUUUUGCGGGGAAAGAAAGAAAGAAAUCUUUGUUCAUAAACUUGUGAUUUUGGUACUGUUCUCUGAAAGUAGACCAUAGUUUUUUGUGGUCAUACGAAUUUAGUGUAUUCUUACACGAUUUAUAACGCUGUAUCAUUGAUAUAUAUGCCUGGUUGUUCAUUUCUAAUAUUAUUAUUCUCUGCUGCUAUUUGCAGCUUUCCAUUGGAAGAUCAUUUGUUUAGUGGAUAUGGAUGCGAUGUUGCUGCCCAUUUGAUCCGUGAAAUUUUGAAAUCAAUGCACGAUUAUUUUAUGAUCUUUCUUUGCUAGCUGGUCAUCAAUGCUUUGAUAUCAGUCCUUUGAUGUGGACUGACCGCCCUUUUUUGCCAAUGCAGUGCAUCAAUCACUACGGAAGCGACAUCGGCGAGAUUAGAGUCGUCUGUUCUAUACAGCAAUAAUUUGAUCAUGGUCGGAAAUAUAAUAAUAUUGUACAUCGGUGAUUGUUGAUUAGGGUCAUUUUUUGACUUCUAAAUAUUCAGAAUUCAUGUUAUAGUUUGAUAUUUUUUCUUCUAAAAUAUCAACUUGCAGCAAGCUUCUCAUAUAAUGUUUUGUUCUGACGCAACAAAAAUACUGUUAUGCGGAUUUGGUGCUUGGAUGUAUGAAAUUUAUAGCAAGUUUGUUGUGUGUGUGAUGUUCUUUUGAUUUGGUGCAAAGAACAACGAUAGGAGGUUUAGUUGAUUUGGUGCUGAAGUGUACAAAGGCCAUUGAUGGGAGGUUGCCGGGGACUAACUGAACACGUAUUGUUGUACAGGGAUUAGCAGGGUUUGUUGGUUAGGGGAUUGGGUGACGAGGUGGGGAUCACCAAAUCCCUGUGUGGGUCUAAUCCCCUAGAGGUUUGGUUCCAGUGGAACCGAACAAAGCCUAAUAGGGCUGGGCCGUACCCAAAAUGCACCGGCCAAGUAUCCAUAAGUAUUGACAUUGUUUAAAAUUGUUUAUACCCUGAUACUCGGGUCUUAGGGUAUACGUAUCCCGAACAUAUCAAAGCAUUUUCCGUAUCCGAUACGAUACGCUGGUUCAAUGAAGCAUUUUGUGCAUUUUGACCUGUCAGCAUCCGUGCAUUCUAGUGUUACUAUAUCUACUAUUGGGAGUUCCUGGACUAGAGCAAACAGCACGUGUUGCAUAUCCUUGAAUAGUUCUAGCUUCACAGCUUCAGGGAAUUAAUCGUGUCUAAUUGGGCAUAUAGCUUUAACGUGUGGGCAAGUGUGGAGAUGGUGUUCUUUACAUUCAUAUGCAUAGAGCUAGCAACUCCGUCCCAAACUCGAUUUGUAUCACAAACCAAACGGCAAAUGAAACCAAAAAUCAAUCUCCAUGUCCAGUCCCCUAAAAGGAACUCCCAUCCCUAAACUACAAUUCCCUAUCCUAAGGUUGCCAAACACGUUGUGAGGGUGGGCUUUGUGUGCCCAUGAUCGCGGUAAGAGUUACACAAAUCACCAAAGUAGUGGGACUCUGUGGCACUAAACAAAUUUUUCAUUGGGAAACUUAAGGAACAAUUAAGACGUUAAACAGAAUCAAAUUCCUGCGUACCAAAAUUCACAUGCUAAAAAUAAAGGUAUUUCCUGCAACUUACCAUUUUUUUGUCGGAGAGAUGAUACCGUAAGACAGCAACGAAAAAGAUUGGUCCGGACCGUAAGAUCUUCACAGAAAUUUCAUAAGAACAGUGUUAUGAAACUUCUAUGAAUUCAUUACGAUUCAGUCGAUCUGAAAUCUUCUUGACGGACUAUCCAGAUCUGAAACAUGGGCUUCUUCCGCCGGAGAAACGAGCUUGGCAUAGCAUAUAGCAGGAUCGUCGAACGAGCUUCCAGCUUUGACAUGGCUCGCGAAGCUUUCCCCUCUAUCUCACUCUCUGGAUGGGGAACGGGGAAACGGUGAGGGCUGGGAAUGAGGAUCCAAUAUUAGGUGGAGACAGCAUAGCCUCACACAUAGACCCGUAAAGGACGCCAGCUCUGAC